UACGUAGGGUGCGAGCGUUGUCCGGAAUUAUUGGGCGUAAAGAGCUUGUAGGCGGUUUGUCGCGUCUACCGUGAAAAUCCGGGGCUCAACCCCGGACUUGCGGUGGGUACGGGCAGACUAGAGUGUGGUAGGGGAGACUGGAAUUCCUGGUGUAGCGGUGAAAUGCGCAGAUAUCAGGAGGAACACCGAUGGCGAAGGCAGGUCUCUGGGCCACUACUGACGCUGAGAAGCGAAAGCGUGGGGAGCGAACAGG
rnacentral:rRNA from 1 species